CUACGGGCGGCUGCAGUCACGGAACCUCUACAAUGCGCGAAAGCGUGAUAGGGGGAUUCCAAGUGCUAUGCCAAUGGUAUGGCUUUUGUCAAGUGUAAGGAGCUUGGCGAAUAAGUGGUGGGUAAGACUGGUGCCAGCCGCCGCGGUAACACCAUGCGCCACAAGUGGUAUCCAUGUUUAUUGGGUCUAAAGCGUUCGUAGCCGGUUUGAUAAAUUUUGUGUGAAAUCGUUGGGCCUAACCCAACGUCGGGCACGAAAGACUGUCAAGCUUGAGACCGGGAGGUGGACAGAGGUAUUCCAGGGGGAGCGGUAAAAUGUUAUAAUCCCUGGAGGACCACCAGUGGCGAAGGCUUCUGUCCAGAACGGGUCUGACGGUGAGGAACGAAGGCUAGGGGAGCAAACCGGAUUAGAUACCCUCGUAGUC
rnacentral:rRNA from 1 species